rnacentral:rRNA from 1 species
AUUGAACGCUGGCGGCAUGCUUUACACAUGCAAGUCGUACGGUAACAGGCCUUCGGGCGCUGACGAGUGGCGAACGGGUGAGUAAUGCAUCGGAACGUGCCCAGUCGUGGGGGAUAACUAUCCGAAAGGGUAGCUAAUACCGCAUACGAUCUGCGGAUGAAAGCGGGGGACCUUCGGGCCUCGCGCGAUUGGAGCGGCCGAUGUCAGAUUAGGUAGUUGGUGGGGUAAAGGCUCACCAAGCCAACGAUCUGUAGCUGGUCUGAGAGGACGACCAGCCACACUGGGACUGAGACACGGCGCAGACUCCUACGGGAGGCAGCAGUGGGGAAUUUUGGACAAUGGGCGCAAGCCUGAUCCAGCAAUGCCGCGUGCAGGAAGAAGGCCUUCGGGUUGUAAACUGCUUUUGUACGGAACGAAACGGCUCUGGUUAAUACCCGGGGCUAAUGACGGUACCGUAAGAAUAAGCACCGGCUAACUACGUGCCAGCAGCCGCAGUAACAC